UGAUUCUUGAGCGCGUUUCACUAGAGUUUCGUGAGAGGAACAGGUACAGCGAGUUGACGCGCUUCCGGACGCAGGUGAGAGAGUAGCCGUCAUGAACGCGAGGAUCAAAAAGAAAAGCGGCUGCCUCGCGCUCUUCGCUUGGACGCUGAGGUCUUGAUCCUUUGGGAUUUAAAAUAACCCUCCGCUGGUAUCACAGCAGUUUCUCAGGUUAAAGUUCCCUUCCAAAAUGUAAAAGGAUGACCACUGUGUAGUCACAAUUAACCAGACACACCCUUGAACCACUGUUACGCAGAUAUUCUCAGUCUGUGUUUGUUUUCACAUGUGCAUGUGUGGAGCAUCAUGAGUU